GGUAUAUCUAGUAUAUCUCCAGAUGCCAUGUCCAAAAGAUUAGCACAAGAUCUUGAUGGCAUGAUUAUAAAAUAAAAUUUGGUCUACGUUGUUAAACACGCACUGCCGGAAUUUGAAAUCUAUGCUUGAAACUUUCAGCCCCAAAGCAAUUGUGCAGUAACCUUAAAAUUGUAAACCUCCAAAAAACUCCCAGCAAUUUCCGAUGAGAUAUAACAGCAAAAUUUCCAAACAGAAAAAUUCAAAACCACUUAAAAGACAAAUCCGGUGACUGAGAACACGGUGAUGACGUCAGAAUCCGACGAAUUCAAAAAUUAUCACACACAUGAAGAGAGAGAAAAAGUAACUGUGUGUGAGUGUGAAGUUUCAAUGGAAGAAAAUAGAGAGAGGAG
rnacentral:misc_RNA from 1 species